GACGGAGCGCCCAGCACGAGCGGCAUAGGAGAUGUAGACCUACCGCGUGCCGGCGAAACCGACCGGAUUUAGGAGACCCACGUCCAUGGAGCGGACCCUCGCCGCGGUGGUACCGCCAUGGCUUCUGUAGGCCGGCCGUCAGCAGAAUAGCAGCGACCUUUCUUUGGUCAGAUUCCGAUUCUCCGUAAUAAGAUAGAUUGUGAUUCUCUGUAGAAACAAAAUGGUGGCUGCUUUUACCCUAUUUCUGUCGGUUCCUGCUUCAUGCGUGCAAUAUGCCUCUAGAUGUGGGCUACAGGUACAUGUCAUAUGUUUUUGAGCACUGGUUGGAAUGAGUUUGUUGUGAUU